rnacentral:lncRNA from 1 species
CACAAUGAAGUGAACUCCAGGCUCGAAAAGGUACUAAACGACACCGAAUUACCCUACUUGAAGCGCAUCCUGUUGGCUUCAGCAAUUGAACUGAAGCUCCUUUUCCCCCUGGCUGGACCUGCUGUUUUUGUUUACAUGAUCAAUAAUCUCAUGUCCUUGUCCACCAGAAUCUUUGCCGGCCACCUCGGCAAUCUUGAACUUGCUGCUGCUUCUCUUGGCAAUAACGGCAUCCAACUCUUUGCCUAUGGCCUCAUGGUAAUAUAUAUAACUUCAAAGCAACUUUUUCAUUGUCUUUCUAUUAAUUAGGUUCUGGUUGGAGUUUUAAACUUGUUAUCACUUUGAUGUUUCUUUCCUGUAGUUAGGUAUGGGAAGUGCAGUCGAAACUCUAUGUGGGCAAGCUUAUGGAGCUCGAAAGUACGAAAUGCUAGGGACAUAUCUCCAAAGAGCAACGGUUGUUCUAACUGUAACCGGAAUACCAUUAACUGUCAUCUACCUUUUAUCAAAGCCAAUUUUGCUUUUAUUAGGUGAAUCAAAGGCAGUAGCCUCAGCAGCAGCAGUGUUUGUUUAUGGUCUAAUACCACAAAUUUUUGCUUAUGCUGUGAAUUUCCCAAUACAAAAAUUCCUUCAAGCUCAAAGCAUAGUAAACCCAAGCGCCAUAAUAUCAGCUGCUACUCUCGUUGUCCACUUAUUGCUCAGUUGGCUUGCAGUGUACAAGCUGGGAUUGGGAUUGAUAGGUUGUUCUCUGGUGUUGAGCUUGUCAUGGUUUAUAAUAGUGAUUGCCCAGUUUGUUUAUAUUCUGAAGAGUGAUAAGUGUAAGUAUACCUGGAAUGGGUUUACCUUGCAAGCCUUUUCUGGGAUUUGGGAGUUCGUUAAAUUAUCAUCAGCAUCUGCAGUGAUGCUGUGCUUGGAGACUUGGUAUUAUCAGAUUUUGAUAUUAAUUGCCGGCCUCCUCAAAGAUCCUGAGAUUGCUUUGGACUCCCUUUCUGUGUGGUAAAACAACUCUAUUUUUCUUUUAUUUUUAUUUUUAUUUUUUGUCAUUAGGAUAUUGUGAUUUUAAAAAAAUCAAUAAAAUAUGUUCAAUUAUUUCAUUAUUAAUUUUUGGAACAAAAUGGGGUCAAUUGACCCCUCUUCAUCUUUUUGUUAUUGACCUACUUUUUCAUGUAAAAAAAUUAAAAGAUUUCGGUAAAGAGGGAAAAUGUUGAUUCCAUAAUGAAAAAUUUUUAGAUCCGCCAGUCUUGGGAACAAUUGCCAAAUUCCUUUUGCUGACCUAAAUGUGUAUUCUCUAGUAAUGGCUUAAUGGCUGGCUGUGACAUAAUUUUAUUUAUUUAUUUUUUUUUUCUUUCAGUAUGGGUAUAACUGGGUUGCUGUUCAUGGUCUCAGUCGGUUUCAACGCUGCUGCAAGGUUAGUUUUUAUGUAAAUAUUUAAUGGUAAAUUUAUUAACUACCUAAAAUAUAUUUUAAAUCAAUUUUCUAUACCAAAAUUUGUAAUUCAAUUAGAUUCUCCUAAUUAAUCAAUUAUGAAUUGCAGUGUUAGAGUCAGCAAUGAAUUGGGAGGUGGGAACCCAAAGUCAGCAGCAUUUUCAGUUGUUGUGGUGACUUUGGUUUCAUUCAUAAUUGCAGUUAUAGAAGCAGUGGUUGUGCUUUGUCUACGAAAUGUAAUAAGUUAUGCAUUUACUGAAGGAGAAACUGUAGCCAAGGCUGUCUCUGAGCUAUCUCCAUUAUUAGCCGUCGCUCUCUUACUUAAUGGGAUUCAACCAGUUUUGUCCGGUACAGAACUUUCUUUACUCGAUAAAUAAUUGCAGAUUUUUUAUACACUAAUCCUUGUUACGACUGUAAAUGUGUCGAGCUUUGAUGACAUUGAGCUCACUUUGAUAAGGAUAUACCCAAGUUCAAAAGUCUAAGCUCAAGCUCAGCUUGAUAUCCAUAAACGAGCAAAAGUCGAGCUCAAUCAAAUCGAAACAGCAUCAUUUGAAUAUAGGUUUAAUUGAUUUGGCUUAUUAAGCUAAUUUGUGAGCUCAGCUCACCUCAAUAAAGCUAACUUAUCGAACAAAUUCGAGCGAACUUUUAUUGAACUGCUCACGACCGGCAUUUCUCAUUUAACACCCUAAUCCUUGUGAUUUUAUCUUGCAAUUGUAAAGGAGUGGCAGUUGGAUGUGGAUGGCAAGCCUUUGUGGCUUAUGUAAACGUGGGGUGCUAUUAUUUGGUUGGAAUUCCAGUGGGAUGUGUUCUUGGUUUUAAGUUUGAUUUUGGAGCAAAGGUAAAACCUUUAAUGUCCUCUCUACUUUGUAAUAAUUUUAUCUUCAGAACAACAUCCACAGGUUUAUUAUUAUUUAACUAAUUUGGUUACUAACUUAUGAGUUUAGGGUAUAUGGUCCGGGAUGAUUGGAGGAACAGUUAUGCAGACUAUCAUUUUAUUAUGGGUCACAUUUCGUACGGAUUGGAUUAAAGAGGUAAUUAAAUUCUAUAUACUCUGCUCGUCAUUCCAUUUGAUAGCAUUUAGAAUCGAAAAUUUAUAAUUCCAUGUCUGGCUUAUCGAAAUGAAAUCUCUCUUUUAAUAAAAAGAAACAACAUCAACAUGGAUACUUCACCAGUAACCAUUAAUUACAACAGAAAAGCUGUAAGAAUUGAAAGGAAAGCACCACCAAAAUUCACCUAACUCUUCUAUACACUUUCUUGAGUUGACUGGCCGGUAGGGUAGAUACUAAGAAUUUGUUUUAUAUAAAUAAAAUUUCAUUUAAAACUAUAUAAUUUUAAUUUUAUAAAAUCGACUGUUUAAGAAGAAGAAUUUUAUAAAAUUUACAGAUAAAUCGUAAAUUUACUGAGCUUAUAAUUAUCAGUUCAAACAAACAAUUGUGCAAGCUUGCAUGGAAUUAAUUAUUAGUAGAAAAUGGAAUAAAUUUAUUUAUUACAAAUAUUAUGUAAAAAGUAGCAUUUUCGUAUUUCAGGUUGAAAAGGCUAAAAUGCGACUGGACAAAUGGGAUGACGACAAGCAAACACUCCAAAACGAUUGAAGAUGCACAAUCCAUCGUGAAUUUUGAUAUUCACAAACCACUUCCACAUUUUGACAUGAAUUGAGUCUUUUUUUUUUUUUUUCUUUUUUCAAUGAAAAUAAAAUAUUAGACUUACAUGCUUCAAUUUGAAUUUCUCCAUGCUAAAAAUAAUUAAUUAAAGUAAAUUUAUUGAUUUAUUAUAUUCUAUAUAAAAGAAUAGGUUACGCAAUUAAUUAAUAUAAUCGUUGAUAUUAGUACGAUCAAAAGAAUUUAAAGUAGAAAUCUCUCGUUUUUUAUUUUUAUUAUAGAAUAAUAAUUUUAUUAAUUUGUUACUUUUAACUUUUUUUUUUUUUUUAAUAAAAGCAAUUACUUUUACUAUAAAAGAACUAGCUUUCUUAUUGGCCUAUAUAUAUUGAGUUUCCAUUUUGAAAUAUUUAGACUAGAUGUAUUUAAUUCGUAUAUAUAUAUGUUGUGUAGCUCUCAUGGAAUAAGAUAAUUUGUCUUAUACAGAACCGUAUAUACUACAUCAGGUGCCUCUAAAUAAAUACGGACAUAAAGAAGCCAUAAAAACUUAUGCAACAAGAGCAUCAGAAUAUAUUUAAUUAACUUUUCCAGAAAAUCAAAUAACAGAGAUAUCAUGUCUCAAAAAAAAAAAAAAAAUUAUAACGUUAUAAUAUGUUUCUUUAAACCACAGAAAAACAUAUUUUCAGUGUUUGGAAUGUUCAAACAAAUACUUUAGAUAUGUUAAUUAACUGAUUAUCCUUUAUUUUAUAAUCCAUUUAAAAUUUUGAUGUAUGAAAAAGAACAAAUAUAUAAGACGACAGUGCACUCCAUAAGUAAUGUAAGCACAAAGAUUUGGACAGGCACUAUGAGUUAACCAAUUAGAUGAGAGACUGAAAAGCAAAGCAUUAAAGAAUCAUUUCUGAUUCUACACUUGUCAUUUCAUGGGUGAUAAUAGUAAUUUUCACUUCCUGGUAAUGUUAACCUGAAAACACUAUAAAACUUCCUGUCAACUGGUGAUUGGCAAUGAGUUGAGCAGAAAAGGAAAAAACAAUCCUCUUACAUUGAUAACGUUUCUUCACCUAUAUCACACAUUAAUAGUUAUGGAUUCUCCAGAUGAACUCCAAGAACCCAUUCUACAAUCACAUUCUCAACCUGCUGCUGCUCUUCACAAUGAAGUGAACUCCAUGCUCGAAAAGGUACUAAACGACACCGAAUUACCCUACCUGAAGCGCAUCAUGUUGGCUUCAGCAAUUGAACUGAAGCUCCUUUACCGCCUGGCUGGACCUGCUGUUUUUGUUUACAUGAUCAAUAAUUUCAUGUCCUUGUCAACCAGAAUCUUCGCUGGCCACCUUGGCAAUCUUCAACUGGCU